ensembl:lncRNA
GCACUGAUUGGACUUGAUGGCCGAAGCAGGUGGAACUAUGGGCCGACACUCUGGUUCCUUCUCUGUGCGGACAAUGGUUCUGGCAACCGCUGAGGACGCACGGUGUUUGAACCUGUGCGGGGAUGCCAAGUGGAGCAGAAUGUCACAGUGGACGGUUUGCAAAGGUCACCAAAAGUUUGUGCUAGUUUGUCACUGGCUGUGUUUUUAGUUCCUCAAACGCGUUUCACUUUCUACAGCUCCGGGAGCCGUUGAUAUCGCUCAUGGCGGAAACAACAAGAGCACGGCACUAUCAGCUACAUGGCCCUUUGCACUGGACCGACACAGUUCAAGCGGGAGGUUUCAGCUCGUGGGUGCAGACGGCCUCGAGGUCAACCUCCACCUAGACACAUCUUACCGAGCGUAGGAGGUGCUGCUGGGAAGUUAAUGCUACCACGUUCACUCACGGCGUUGUGUGUUCAGCAGGUUUUUACCUCGAUCCAUCUCCACGGGGCCCAGAGCCGCCAGGAGCAGUCUCCCAGGGCAACCAAACAGCUGGGCACAGCUAUGUCAUUUGAGGCCUCCGCAGAACUGUAGGGGAGGACUGGUUGCCGUGCAACGAGCCUUUCUUCCCACUGAACCUCGCAUAUCCAGUUAUACGUAAGAGUGAACUCUGAUUUCUUCAACAAGUGUCUGAAUGUUGUGCAACGUGUGGGCCUGUCUGGUUCGCACCGAGGCGGGCUGGUCUGUUGUCGCCACAGACACUCGGAGAGACGUUUCUUUGAUUCCAAGAGGGAGCUCUGUUUUGGAUCAACGAAAAUAUCAAGUCAUUGUUGGUUAAUUCUGCAUCUGAUAAGUGGCAUGACUAGUGUCACGGUUCUGCCCACUCUCAAAACGUCUGGAGACUUUUGGUUUAUAAGUCUCUGCUUUUGUUAAGUUUCCUUUUGUUAUCCUCAUGUUGUUGGUCACUUCCCCUCCUCUGGUGUUUCCCAACACCUUGGUCAUCUGCACCUGCCGUAAUGUGUCACCAUCGUCUCCCCUCCCUUUCUUUAUAUGGUGUCUGUGUUUCCCUUUGUCUUUGUCAGUUCCUCUGUUCUUGUCCUGUUCUCCUGAUGUUUCAGUUUGAUCCUCGUCAUUUUGCCUUUUGGAGUUUGGAUUCCCAGUUCGUCUACCUGCUGUUAAAACUCCCUCCAUCCAUCCUUCCUUCGAGGCUGCUCCUGUUUGCUUAUCAAUUCAUCAAUUCAUCUACCUGCUUGUUCUUCUGUCCACCUGUAAGCCUUUAAAUCCUCUUUAACAUUUACUUGUGCAUGUGCAAAAACCAUGAUUAGGGAGUAAAAAAUAAAUCUGAUACGUAUUAAAGAAAAAGUUGGCAAGGAUUCACAAGAUAAUAUCAAACCCUUGUGACAAAGAAAUGUAAUUGAGGCUUGACAUUUUACAGUUAAAACAUAAACCUGAUAACAAAUAACUAUGAAUACAAAAUAGUUCAUGACAUCUGAGCAUCAGGUUCCUGAUGUGGAAAGAAGAAGUGUAACACAAAUUGCUUUUCUUUUUCUGUCAGCACUUUUAUGGGAACUGUUGGAAAAAAAGUGUGUAGGGAUUUAAAGGUCAGGACUCCACGGGGAUGUCAGAGGUCGGAGUCAGUUCAAGAAUGCAGACAGAAAGCAGAGUAGUACGAGGCUUCUCCAAAUGAUCGCACGGGAUAGCCUUUCCUAGUGAGCCAAAGUCAUUCAGGGGUAAGCGAAAUGGUCCCUCAAUCAACCUUCAAACUGUUUUUAAAAAAAGCAAGGAUGUAGAGACGGCUCAAAAUAUAACUUCUAAAGGCACCUGUAGUGUAUAUGAGGAAAUACAUUCGAGCCUUUUAAAGAGAGCACAAAGAAUCACUGCUUUUCUUCCCACCGGGAGUUCCUGUCAAAGUGUUGCUUCGAGCGAGGCCCCCUGGCAGCGG